rnacentral:misc_RNA from 1 species
GAUCAUAUAUUAUCUAUUCUCGAUGACAAAAAAAUAGAGCCUGCGACAUCUGUCAGGCUCUACAGUACACACAAUGAUGCUUCCUUUCGUUAUUUUCUGCUUGUCCUCCCUGUGCAAUAAAUAUAGUUAUAGCGACGUGAUAAAAUAUUUCCAGUAUGAAAUGGUGACUGAUUUCA